UACGUAGGGGGCGAGCGUUGUCCGGAUUUAUUGGGCGUAAAGAGCUCGUAGGCGGCCUGUCGCGUCGACUGUGAAAACCCGCAGCUUAACUGCGGGACUGCAGUCGAUACGGGCAGGCUAGAGUUCGGUAGGGGAAACUGGAAUUCCUGGUGUAGCGGUGAAAUGCGCAGAUAUCAGGAGGAACACCGGUGGCGAAGGCGGGUCUCUGGGCCGAUACUGACGCUGAGGAGCGAAAGCGUGGGGAGCGAACAGG
rnacentral:rRNA from 1 species